CUUGGGAGGGGGGUCCCUCAGCCCAGAUUGUGAGAGGGCGCUGGCCAGACGGAGGGACCCCACCGGUGCACG
rfam:Myotis brandtii contig168926, whole genome shotgun sequence.